UCUGUUCAGGGCUAAGACCUCUUGACCUUCCCCUUCCGCAUUAGCAAGGCUACUGGUGUCCUCGUUUGGGUCACACUUAGGUGGCCAUGUUGAUGAGAUUGCAGUCUGAGGAGGCAGUCUGAGAACAGCAUCACCGCUUUGGUCUGAGGUAGAGGUAAGAGCUAGUGGCUGGCUGCUUUUCUUCUCUGAUCUUUCAACUUUCCCUCUCUGGUAGCUGACUCCGGGUUUUCAUAAUUAAGACCAACUAGAGCUCAUGCUACAAGACUUCAUGAGCAUAGUUUCCCUCCCUUAUUAAAUGGUGCUGGAAUUGGAGGAAGUGGCAGAGUGGAGAGCAGGAGGCGGGUCUGGGGACCCUUGGGUGCUCUGUCAUGCUUCUGCUCUCCCAGAUCAGCAGGGCCGCUCUGGUGUGCCACAGGAAGGGAGCACAGGCUGCAUCCCCCAUGCAGGGGCUGCCGGCUGCCCUGUGCUCUCCUGGCCUCUGUCCCUGAGUCGCUGUCCAGGGGUCUGCCAGGCUUGCUACGAGUUCGUAUGCUCAUUAAUCACCCAUGCCUUUCCUUAUUGGAGCACUCCUGGGAAGCCCUGGCCCACCGUACUCUGAAAGUUUCCAGCCUCGUCCUCCUGGCCAAGGUCCCAGUUAUGUGGAAAACCACAGGCUCUCAGUGUCCAUUACAAGCAGGAGAAGAAAAUGACCCCAGAAGUGUGGCAGGCAGAAGGGAGGGAAAUGGUGACCUCUGGGUCUUGGGGAGCAGGGUGGAGGAGGAGGCCGCUGCCCAGAGCCAUCACUCUGACCAGGGUAGCAGGCUGUCAGAUGUCUCAACUCCUAUGCGAGGCCAAGGGAAACAGGUCCUUCAGAGCGAGUGUCCCUGAUGGCUGGUACCUGACUCUCAGGGUGCUCUGUGAGUGCACACUCGAUGGCAUCUUCAGCACUCAGCUCCACCCCAGGAGAAGCCUCUGGACUCUGUUACAGACAGGUCCACACCAUUUUCCAUGGCUUUCUCUCCUGCCUCCGAAUGCACAAGUCUCUCACUUGAGUGUCCAGAAAUCCUGCCACUGCAGAACAAGAGCAGGAAACAUGACUCUUUGGCAAGAGACCCAACUGAUACAGAAAGUUACAGAAUGAGAAUUGGAGCUACAAUAGUGAAUCGAAAGCAUUGUGUUUAGAGUCUAAGGGGCUGCUACCCACGUUCUCUUUCAUGACGGUGAAGGUGCUGAAGAGGGCUUUUGCUCCCCACACAGCUGGUUCUGUGGUUUUUGGAAAGAGCUUCUCUACGAAGUGACAAAUAAAGGGACACGCGUGCUUUACCAUCUUAUUUACCCAUGCUACACUUUCGGUGUCUGGAAAAUGUACCCAGGUGGGCAGAUCGCUGGCCCGCACCCCCAGGAGCGCAGCUGGCUCCUGGUCCUCCAGCAGCGGCAGCGCACAGCACGGGUGGCUGACCUCGAGACCGCCGCUCCGGUGGCACCAAACAAGAAGCCCGAGCUCCAGCAGCAGCCAGCUGAAGCUCAGCCCAGGGUGUCCACGGGCGGGCGGCAGCAGCUCAGAGCUGUGCACCAGCUGCCCCAGCCGCUCGGGUGAGUCCACACUCAGCGCACUGCCCGGGCCCGGCCAGCACGGGGCUCUGGGUGCCUUCCUAACUGGACGGGCAGACACACAAGACAGACAACACGAAAGAAGGGAAGACAAGGGGGUCCCGAGGCUUACUCGUCAAAGGUCCUCUCCCUGAAAUACACCGAUUUAGGGGUACUGUCCAGCACCGCGAGCGAGGAGAGGGAGACACUAGAACUCGUUCUGGGCAACACCCCAAAAUUACAGCGGCAGCAAAGUUGAUGGACCUGACUUGGGGAGCUCAAAACCUAUGCCCCGAGUGCCUGUUCAGGGCACCAGAUGUUGCUAGGUCCUAAGGGCUCCCUCAGAGGAAGAGCUGAGAAGGCGCCAUUCCAACCACACAGACACUGGGAGUCAGGUAAAAGAGGAAACAGCAGAAUUGAAAUGAAACAAACAAAGAAGAGUGAGGUAUCCAAGUUGACAACAGCUGGUGAGGAAGGCACUAGCUUUGGAUUCAGCUCAGUUGGGGUUAGAACUGAGACAGCGUGCACUCUUUUGACUGUUUAAGAAAGGCUUUUUAUGUGGUAUAGAACAAUAAUACUGUUUAUUUAGGGCUUCCUGAAUGCAGGCAUGGUGCUGGAUAUGUUAAUGCAAUGUUUCAUUUCUUCUCACAAGAAUCCCACGAAGGAGGAACCCCAUGGCCCCCAUUUUCCAGGUGGUGUGGCCCACGCACAGAGUGAGGAGCCCCAUCGCUCCGUUUUCCAGGUGGUGUGGCUGAGGCAUCCUGCCCCCACGCAGAGCUGCUCAGAAGCAGAGCCGGGAUCCUCAGCUAACUCACCUAAGGCGUAAGCAUGCCCUUCCCUAGAUCUGCUUUGGUCUGAAGUGUGGAAUCUCCCAGGAAUGAGGUUUUAAGUCAAGAGGGCAGGGUCAAGAUUUCUUGAAUUAACUGGCAAUCAGCAGGAAAACAAGAACUGAACAGGGACUUUGCACAACAGAAGGAGAAUCUGAAAUAUCACAUUAUUGGAGCUUGGGCAAUAAAUACAUGUCAAAGA